rnacentral:misc_RNA from 1 species
GCCCCUAGGCCAUGUCCACAUAGAGAACAAAAUUUAAAGAGCAUGUUUUUCCUCUAUUUUCCAGUUUAGGGGAAUCUCCUUAUCUACUUGAGACUAUGAAAUCAAGGUUCCCAUAAAGUAAUAAAAGGGCUUUGAGUUUCCUAAGCUAUAUAUACUCUUCAAUCAAGAGGAUUCAAGGGAGAGAACCAAAAUUGGGGAAGAACAUUUUUCUAUGCAGGGAGAGAUUUAAGCUGAAAUUCUGCAAGAUCAAAUUUGCAAAUCUCUUCUGCACUUUCUAAUUCUACUUCUAUCCAUGCCUAGUUUUCUUUGUUUGAUGAACUUGAUUGUUGAUUUGAGCAUGAGUGAACAGUUUUCUUUAUUCUAGGGUAGCUCUUCAACUUUGCUAUGGCUAUUAUUUAACUUUUCCUAAUCAAUGGAUUGUUAUUUGCUUUUGAUUCAAGUCUAGUCUAACUAAUGCUUUCAUUUUGUUGGAUCCCAUAAUUGCACGAUUCUAGAUAUUGAAUGAAGAAUUGAAAGAUGAAGUUUGAUGUUGGAACUCUAGCACUUGAAUUUAGGAAUUUAUGUCCUAGACAUAGGUUUAAAUCCUUCAAGGAUAAACUAAAUAUCAAAUAGCCUAAUGAGUUUUAAUUAACUUAAUACCAUGAAAACAGGUAUGAUUU